AGUGAACGCUGGCGGUAGGCCUAACACAUGCAAGUCGAACGGCGGCCCAGUAAGAGCUUGCUCUUACGGGUGGCGAGUGGAGGACGGGUGAGGCAUACGUCGGACUCUAGUUUUUCGUGGGGGAUAACGUAGGGUAACUUAGGCUAAUACCUCAUACUACCUACGGGUGAAAGCAGGGGAUCUUCGGACCUUGCGCGAUUGAAUGACUCUAUGUCGGAUUAGCUAGUGUGCGGGGUGAAGGCCCACCAAGGCGACGAUCCGUAGCUGGUCAGAGAGCAAGAUCAGCCACACUGGAUCUGAGACACGGUCCAGACUCCUACAGUGGGCAGCAGUGGGGAAUAUUGGACAAUGCACGCGAGCCGGAUCCAGCCAUACCGCGUGAGUGAAGAAGGCCUUCGGGUGGGAAAGCCCUUUUGUUGGUAAAGAAAAGCAGCACUAUAAUACCCCGCUGUUCUGACGGUACCCAAAGAAGAAGCACCGGCUAACUUCGUG
rnacentral:rRNA from 1 species